UACCUACGGGGCGCAGCAGUGGGGAAUAUUGCGCAAUGGGGGGAACCCUGACGCAGCAACGCCGCGUGCGGGAUGAAGGCCUUCGGGUUGUAAACCGCUUUCCGCAGGGAAGCGACCGACGGUACCUGCAGAAGAAGCCCCGGCUAACUACGUGCCAGCAGCCGCGGUAAUACGUAGGGGGCGAGCGUUAUCCGGAUUCAUUGGGCGUAAAGCGCGCGCAGGCGGACCGUUAAGCGUGCCCUCUCAUCCUGGGGCUCCACCUCAGGCCGGGUCCCGAACUGGCGGUCUCGCGUGCGGUAGGGGAG
rnacentral:rRNA from 1 species